rnacentral:rRNA from 1 species
AGUGAACGCUGGCGGUAGGCCUAACACAUGCAAGUCGAACGGCAGCACAGUAAGAGCUUGCUCUUACGGGUGGCGAGUGGCGGACGGGUGAGGAAUACAUCGGAAUCUACUUUUUCGUGGGGGAUAACGUAGGGAAACUUACGCUAAUACCGCAUACGACCUACGGGUGAAAGCAGGGGAUCUUCGGACCUUGCGCGAUUGAAUGCGCCGAUGUCGGAUUAGCUAGUUGGCGGGGUAAAGGCCCACCAAGGCGACGAUCCGUAGCUGGUCUGAGAGGAUGAUCAGCCACACUGGAACUGAGACACGGUCCAGACUCCUACGGGAGGCAGCAGUGGGGAAUAUUGGACAAUGGGCGCAAGCCUGAUCCAGCCAUACCGCGUGGGUGAAGAAGGCCUUCGGGUUGUAAAGCCCUUUUGUUGGGAAAGAAAAGCAGCAGGUUAAUACCCCGCUGUUCUGACGGUACCCAAAGAAUAAGCACCGGCUAAUUUCGUG